rnacentral:rRNA from 1 species
AACAUGCCCUUGGGUGGGGGAUAACCUCGGGAAACUGAGAAUAAUACCCCAUAGACCUUGAAAGCUGGAAUGCUUCGAGGUCGAAAACUCCGGUGCCCAAGGAUUGGUCUGCGGCGUAUCAGGUUGUAGUGGGUGUAACGGACCCCCUAGCCUAUGACGCGUAAGGGCCUUGAGAGAGGGAGCCCUGAGAUGGACUCUGAGACAUGAGUCCAGGCCCUACGGGGCGCAGCACUCGCGAAAACUUCACAAUGGGAGAAAUCCCGAUGAGGGAAUUCCAAGUGCCAGCACAUUGUGUUGGCUGUUCUCUGGUCUAAAAAACCAGAGAAGUAAGGGCCGGGUAAGACGGGUGCCCA